GAUCGGGGUGGAUGGUCAGGGGGUGGUCAGGGUGGAUGGACAGGGUGGAUGGUCAGGGUGGGUGGUCAGGGUGGGUGGUCAGGGUGGAUGGUUAGGGUGGAUGGUCAGGAUCAGGGUGGAUGGUCAGGGUGGGUGGUCAGGGUGGAUGGGUAGGGUGGUCAGGGUGGAUGGUCAGGGUGGGUGGUCAGGGUGGAUGGGUGGAUUGGUCAGGGUGGAUGGUCAGGGUGUUUGGUCAGAGUGGAUGGUCAGGGUGGGUGGUCAGGGUGGAUGGUCAGGGUGGUUGGUCAGGGUGGAUUGUCAGGGUGGUUGAUCAGGGUGGAUGGUCAGGGUGGUUGGGGUGGGUGGUCAGGGUGGAUGGUCAGGGUGGAUGG
ensembl:lncRNA